UUGGUCGCCAAAACUUUAUAUAUGUUGCAUAUGCCUUUAAGUUUCAUACAGAAAUGGCACUAUAAUAUGGAGCUACACCAGCUCCAGUUCUGUUGUUCAAACACUCAUGACUAUUUCUUGCAUCAGUAAUUUUCCUCAAGCUCCUUCAAUCUUCUGCUAAACACUUCAAACUCAGCUUCAUUGGCGAAUCACCUUCCCACGCGGGUUCUGGUUCUGUACCGAUACACAUGUAACCAUUCGAAUGAUUUGGCAGAACAUCCAAAUUAUUAAAUCACCAUAAUUUUUGAAGCUUGAAGUUGUGUUGGAAAGUAUGAUAGAAGCUUUUAAGGCCUGAGUUGGAUGUUGAAACCAUCUGUUUCAUUUCAACUAGAUGUUGCACUUGGUAAAUCAUACGCAUCGGAGCUACUAAUGACUUCAAGAGCCAGGAAGUGAACGCCUCUGUCGUGUUUUCCAACACAAUUCAAGCUUCAAAAGUUAUGGCAAUUUAAUUAUUUGGAUGUUCGGUCAGAUCAUUCGAAGAUAUUGGUGCAGAACCAGAGCCCGCUUGGGCAGUAUCCAGUGAUGAAACUCUCUAAAAGGUUGAAGCAGCUUGAAGGAAAUUGAUGCAAGAAGUAGUAGAAGAAAUUUGAAUAGAAUUGGAUCAGGGAAUGCCAUAUUAACUAUUAAAUUAAACCUGUUAGUUGCUGUAACAGAACCUUGAGUUGCAGGAGUUCCUCUGCAAACUGGAACUCCAAAGAGUUCAAGCUGUGUGAUUCUGAAACUUCAAUGAAAGCCUAACUCAUGAUUUAUUAUA